rnacentral:rRNA from 1 species
CCUACGGGAGGCAGCAGUGGGGAAUAUUGGACAAUGGGCGCAAGCCUGAUCCAGCAAUGCCGACGUGAGUGAUGAAGGCCUUAGGGUCGUAAAGCUCUUUUACCAGGGAUGAUAAUGACAGUACCUGGAGAAUAAGCUCCGGCUAACUCCGUGCCAGCAGCCGCGGUAAUACGGAGGGAGCUAGCGUUGUUCGGAAUUACUGGGCGUAAAGCGUACGUAGGCGGUUAUUCAAGUCAGAGGUGAAAGCCCGGGGCUCAACCCCGGAACGGCCUUUGAAACUAGGUAGCUAGAAUCUUGGAGAGGUCAGUGGAAUUCCGAGUGUAGAGGUGAAAUUCGUAGAUAUUCGGAAGAACACCAGUGGCGAAGGCGACUGACUGGACAAGUAUUGACGCUGAGGUACGAAAGCGUGGGGAGCAAACAGGAUUAGAUACCCUGGUAGUCCACGCCGUAAACGAUGAUAACUAGCUGUUCGGGCUACGUUGGUGUCGUUGUAGUGGUCGCGAGCGUAACGUACUAUUAAGUUACGUUCCGUCCGUCGGGUAGGUACGGUCGUCGAGAAGUUAAACUUAAACUUAGUAAGUUAGUACGGCGUCGAGACGUGCCGACGGACGACGACGAGGGAGUAGG